GCUGUCAGGUCCAUCUGGGCAGCCCACUGCCUCUCCUCCUCCUUAUAACCCGCCCAGCUGCCUCUCUUUCUUCGUCCAUUCAUUCUCACUCUCUCUGAACUUUCUGCUCGUUUUCUCUUUUCAUGGGGGAGAAAGAAAAUCUCUCAGACCAGAAUCCAGGACAGAAAUUUCAUCAAGAUGAAGAUGAGCCUGGAGUGAUGAUCUAUGGAAUGAAGAAUCAUCGCCGCCGCCGCCGUGAAGGGAUGAGAAUGGUGGUGGCAUGUUGGUGCUAGAGUGGCGCUAUCCUACCUGAGCUUUCCGGAAUAAUACUCAACCUCUCCUUCUUCAUUCUGAUUUUUUGACUUGUUGCCUUUUCGUCUUCUUGUGUGUUUCGUCUUCUUGACCUUGUAAGACCUUUUCUUGACCUUGUAAGACCCGUUGUUCUCCUCACCGGAAACCCCUCGCCAGGACUCGCCGGCGUCGGGUCCGGCCACCAUCUUUCUUCUCCUUCCUUGUCUAUCCCUCCUGAGCUAUUCAAAUCGUCCAAUUUGCACCUUCAACUUCACGAUCUGCCACCGGAGAUCAUGGAAAAUUAGUUAAUUAUAUAUAUAUAUAUAUAUGGUUCGUGUAAUGUAAUUUAAGUAAUUGAUUAAAGUCCGUGGAUUAAUUAAUUGUUAAUUAGUGCUCUUUGCAGUACAGAGAUUAAUUAAUUUGAUUGUAUCAUCAUAACGUGAAAUCGAAGUGAUUGAUUAAUAAUACUGUGUUAACUGAAAUUGAUUUCCGGCUGCGUGCUAA